CUACGUGCCAGCAGCCGCGGUAAUACGUAGGGGGCAAGCGUUAUCCGGAUUUACUGGGUGUAAAGGGAGCGCAGGCGGUUUGGCAAGUUGAGAGUGGAAGCAGGGGGCUCAACCCCUUGACUGCUCCCAAAACUGUUAAACUUGAGUAUGGGAGAGGCAGGCGGAAUUCCUAGUGUAGCGGUGAAAUGCUUAGAUAUUAGGAAGAACACCGGUGGCGAAGGCGGCCUGCUGGACCAAAACUGACGCUGAGGCUCGAAAGCGUGGGUAGCAAACAGGAUUAGAUACCCUGGUAGUCCACGCUGUAAACGAUGAAUACUAGGUGCUGGGAGGCAUAAGCCUUUCGGUGCCGUCGCAAACGCAUUAAGUAUUCCACCUGGGGAGUACGUUCGCAAGAAUGAAACUCAAAGGAAUUGACGGGGACCCGCACAAGCGGUGGAGCAUGUGGUUUAAUUCGACGCAACGCGAAGAACCUUACCCGGUCUUGAGAUCC
rnacentral:rRNA from 1 species